AGUAUUUGGGAGCAAAGCCCAAAAGUUCCCAUUCUUCCUCCUCUUCCUUUCUCCCAUGGCUUCAGAUUUGGGUUAGGGUUCCUCGAUCUGAGGAUUUUGUGCCGUGUAGAGUCCUUCAUCCGACGCGAUCGUCUUUUGGAUUGUUCUUUGGAGAUUUGGCUUGGGUGAUUACGGAGACAGAAUUGUUAUUUCAAUUUCAACUCUUAUCUACCACUGCCAGGUUGGGACUAAUGUUUGUCUCCUCUUUUAUCUUGAAGAAGUAAAAGGACUCUUGAGUUGAAUCAUUAUGAAGAUUGUUUUGAAUGCUAGAGUGUUCAACUUCGGUCAUUUUUGAGGUGUAACUUGGACCAUCGUUCAAGACAAAAGCAGUAUACCUAAUCUUCAGAUAUGCAAGUUCUGAUGCAAUUGGUAACUUCGAGUUACCUAGACUCCGUUCCUGACUCCCAAUCAGGUUCUGCCGAUGGAUCGUCGGUGGACAUUUUAAGGCCUGUCAUUAAUGUUUAUUAGACGGCAGUCGAAGAAGAUGGAGACUUGUGGUGGUUGCAGGGAGGAGGACAGGGCAUGCCAGCGAACCUAUGAGAGUGAAGGG